rnacentral:rRNA from 1 species
GACGAACGCUGGCGGCGUGCCUAAUACAUGCAAGUCGAACGCAGUGGGGACGGGUGAGUAACACGUGGGUAACCUCCCAUCAGAGGGGAUAACACUUGGAAACAGGAUCUAAACCGAUACUGAUGGAUGGACCCGCGGUGCAUCAGCUAGUUGGUGAGGUAACGGCUCACCAAGGCCACGAUGCAUAGCCGACCUGAGAGGUUGAUCGACCACACUGCGACUAAGAGGCGGCCCAGACACCGACGUGAGACAGCGGUAAGGAAUCUUCGGCAGUGGACGAGAGUCUGACCGGGCGACGCGGCGUGAGUGAAAAAGGUUUGCGGAUCGUAAAACUCGAUUGUUAGAGGAGCGGUAUCUAACCAGAAAGCCACGGCUAACUACGUGCCAGCAGCCGCGGUAAUAC